CUUUCAAGUCCGAUGCUAAAGACUGGGGCUCAACCCCAGGGGUGCGUUGGAUACUGUGAGGCUAGACGGUCGGAGGGGGUAGCGGAAUUUCCGGAGUAGCGGUGAAAUGCGCAGAUACCGGAAGGAACGCCAAUAGCGAAGGCAGCUACCUGGACGACUUGUGACGCUGAGGCGCGAAAGCGUGGGGAGCAAACCGGAUUAGAUACCCGGGUAGUCCACGCCCUAAACCAUGAGUGCUGGGUGUCCGGCUUCUGCUGGGUGCCGUAGCUAACGCGCUAAGCACUCCGCCUGGGAAGUACGCACGCAAGUGUGAAACUCAAAGGAAUUGACGGGGGCCCGCACAAGCGGUGGAGCAUGUGGUUUAAUUCGAAGCGACGCGAAGAACCUUACCAGGCCUUGACAUGCCCGGAACCCCUCUGAAAGGAGGGGGUGCCCGCAAGGGAGCCGGGACACAGGUGCUGCAUGGCCGUCGUCAGCUCGUGUCGUGAGAUGUUGGGUUAAGUCCCGCAACGAGCGCAACCCCUAUCCCUAGUUGCCAGCAGUUCGGCUGGGCACUCUAUGGAGACUGCCUGCGAAAGCAGGAGGAAGGCGGGGAUGACGUCUGGUCCGCAUGGCCCUUACGGCCUGGGCGACACACGUGCUACAAUGCCAAGGACAGAGCGCUGCUACCUCGCGAGAGGACGCCAAUCGCAAAAACCUUGGCUCAGUUCGGAUUGGAGUCUGCA
rnacentral:rRNA from 1 species